rnacentral:rRNA from 1 species
UACGAAGGGGGCUAGCGUUGUUCGGAAUCACUGGGCGCAAAGCGCACGCAGGCGGAUCGAUAAGUCGGGGGUGAAAGCCCGGGGCUCAACCUCGGAAUUGCCUUCGAUACUGUCGGUCUCGAGUCCGGGAGAGGUGAGUGGAAUUCCUAGUGUAGAGGUGGAAUUCGUAGAUAUUAGGAAGAACACCAGUGGCGAAGGCGGCUCACUGGCCCGGUACUGACGAUCAGGUGCGAAAGCGUGGGGAGCAAACAGG